rnacentral:rRNA from 1 species
UACGUAGGGGGCUAGCGUUGUCCGGAAUCAUUGGGCGUAAAGAGCUCGUAGGCGGCUUGUCGCGUCGACUGUGAAAACCCGUGGCUCAACUGCGGGCCUGCAGUCGAUACGGGCAGGCUAGAGUUCGGUAGGGGGAGACUGGAAUUCCUGGUGAGCGGUGAAAUGCGCAGAUAUCAGGAGGAACACCGGUGGCGAAGGCGGGUCUCUGGGCCGAUACUGACGCUGAGGAGCGAAAGCGUGGGGAGCGAACAGG